CCUACGGGAGGCAGCAGUGAGGAAUAUUGGUCAAUGGGCGAGAGCCUGAACCAGCCAAGUCGCGUGAGGGAGUACUGCCCUAUGGGUUGUAAACCUCUUUUGUCGGGGAGCAAAAGCCGGACGUGUCCGGCUGUGAGAGUACUCGAAGAAAAAGCAUCGGCUAACUCAGUGCCAGCAGCCGCGGUAUUACGGAGGAUGCGAGCGUUAUCCGGAUUUUUUGGGUUUAAAGGGUGCGCAGGCGGAUUUGUAAGUCAGCGGUCAAAUCGUGGGGCUCAACCCCAUCCAGCCGUUGAAACUGGGGAUCUAGAGUGUGCGAGAGGUAUGCGGAAUGCGUGGUGUAGCGGUGAAAGGCAUAGAUAUCACGCAGAACCCCGAUUGCGAAGGCAGCAUACCGGUGCACAACUGACGCUCAGGCACGAAAGCGUGGGUAGCGAACAGGAUUAGAUACCCCGGUAGUC
rnacentral:rRNA from 1 species